CCCCACUGCUAUCGGGGUGGGACUAAAACAUGCAAGUCGAGCGCCUCCAAGCUAUGGUGAAGGCGCGGCAAACGGCUCAGUAACACGUGGCCAACCUACCCUUGGGACGGAGACAACCCCGGGAAACUGGGGCUAAUCCCCGAUAAGUAAGGAAUCCUGGAAUGGAUCUUUGCUGAAAGGGCGUCUGGACCAUGCUUCUUGACGUCGCCCAAGGAUGGAGCCGCGACCGAUCAGGUAGUUGGCGAGGCAACGGCUCACCAAGCCUAUAACCGGUACGGGCCGUGAGAGCGGGAGCCUGGAGAUGGGCACUGAGACAAGGGCCCAGGCCCUACGGGGCGCAGCAGUUGCGAAAACUCCGCAAUGCGCGAAAGCGUGACGGGGCUACCCCGAGUGCCGCCCGUUGAGGGCGGCUUUUCCACGGUGUAAGGAGCCGUGGGAAUAAGGAGAGGGCAAGACUGGUGUCAGCCGCCGCGGUAAUACCAGCUCUCCGAGUGGUGGGGACGAUUAUUGGGCUUAAAGCGUUCGUGGCCGGCUUAACAAGUCUUCCGUUAAAUCCAACGAUCUAAUCGUUGGGCUGCGGGAGAUACUGUUGGGCUAGGAGGCGGGAGAAGCCGACGGUAUUCUCGGGGUAGGGGUGAAAUCCUGUAAUCCCGGGAGGACCACCAGUGGCGAAGGCGGUCGGCUAGAACGCGCUCGACGGUGAGGGACGAAAGCUGGGGGAGCGAACCGGAUUAGAAACCCGGGUAGUCCCAGCUGUAAACGAUGCGGGCUAGGUGUUGGGGUGGCCACGAGCCACUUCAGUGCCGCAUGGAAGCAAUUAAGCCCGCCGCCUGGGGAGUACGGCCGCAAGGCUGAAACUUAAAGGAAUUGGCGGGGGAGCACCACAAGGCGUGAAGCUUGCGGUUU
rnacentral:rRNA from 1 species